rnacentral:rRNA from 1 species
GAUGAACGCUAGCGGCAGGCUUAACACAUGCAAGUCGAGGGGUAACAGGAAAAGCUUGCUUUUUCGCUGACGACCGGCGCACGGGUGCGUAACGCGUAUGCAACCUACCUCUUACUGGGGAAUAGCCCGGAGAAAUCCGGAUUAAUGCCCCAUAGUAUUGCUUUUUCGCAUGUUAAAGCAAUUAAAGGUUACGGUAAGAGAUGGGCAUGCGUCCCAUUAGCUAGAUGGUAAGGUAACGGCUUACCAUGGCAACGAUGGGUAGGGGGCCUGAGAGGGUGAUCCCCCACACUGGUACUGAGACACGGACCAG